AUUCAGGUUCGCCCUCG
rnacentral:misc_RNA from 1 species